rnacentral:rRNA from 1 species
UACGGGGUGCAGCAGGCGCGAAAACUUUACAAUGCCGGCAACGGCGAUUAGGGGACCUCGAGUGCCAGGUUACAAAUCUGGCUGUCGMGAUGCCUAAAAAGCAUUGCAUAGCAAGGGCCGGGCAAGACCGGUGCCAGCCGCCGCGGUAACACCGGCGGCUCGAGUGGUAACCGUUAUUAUUGGGUCUAAAGGGUCUGUAGCCGGCCGGRUAAGUCUCUUGRGAAAUCCAGCAGCUCAACUGUYRGGCUUUCAGGAGAUACUGYCUGGCUCGAGGCCGGGAGAGGUGAGAGGUACUUCAGGGGUAGGGGUGAAAUCUUGUAAUCCUUGAAGGACCACCAGUGGCGAAGGCGUCUCACCAGAACGGACCUGACGGCAAGGGACGAAAGCUAGGGGCACGAACCGGAUUAGAUACCCGGGUAGUCCUAGCCGUAAACGAUACUCGCUAGGUGUCGGCCACGGUGCGACCGUGGUCGGUGCCGUAGGGAAGCCGUGAAGCGAGCCACCUGGGAAGUACGGCCGCAAGGCUGAAACUUAAAGGAAUUGGCGGGA